rnacentral:rRNA from 1 species
CACAGUGUAGCAAUACAUGGGUGGCGACCGGCAAACGGGUGCGGAACACGUACGCAACCUUCCUUCAGGCGGGGAAUAGCCCAGAGAAAUUUGGAUUAAUACCCCAUAAUAUUUUGAGAUGGCAUCAUCUUAUUAUUAAAGCUACGGCACCUGGAGAUGGGCGUGCGGCUGAUUAGGUAGUUGGCGGGGUAAUGGCCCACCAAGCCUACGAUCAGUAGCUGAUGUGAGAGCAUGAUCAGCCACACGGGCACUGAGACACGGGCCCGACUCCUACGGGAGGCAGCAGUAAGGAAUAUUGGUCAAUGGACGCAAGUCUGAACCAGCCAUGCCGCGUGGAGGAUGAAGGUCCUCUGGAUUGUAAACUUCUUUUAUCUGGGACGAAAAAAGGGUUUUCUAACUCGUCUGACGGUACCAGAUGAAUAAGCACCGGCUAACUCCGUGCCAGCAGCCGCGGUAAUACGGAGGGUGCAAGCGUUAUCCGGAUUCACUGGGUUUAAAGGGUGCGUAGGCGGGCAUUUAAGUCAGUGGUGAAAUACCUGAGCUUAACUUGGGAACUGCCAUUGAUACUAUUUGUCUUGAAUGUCGAGGAGGUUAGCGGAAUAUGUCAUGUAGCGGUGAAAUGCUUAGAUAUGACAUAGAACACCUAUUGCGAAGGCAGCUAACUACGCGAAUAUUGACGCUGAGGCACGAAAGCGUGGGGAUCAAACAGGAUUAGAUACCCUGGUAGUCCACGCCCUAAACGAUGAUUACUCGACAUUAGCGAUACACUGUUAGUGUCUGAGCG